GCCAUGUUGGUCCAGUCGGUUAGGACGAUACAGGUUACUGUAGAGGGCGGGGUUCGCGUUUGAAUCCUUGGCAUGGCA